rnacentral:rRNA from 1 species
GGCAAUGGAGGCAACUCUGACCCAGCCAUGCCGCGUGCAGGAAGACUGCCCUAUGGGUUGUAAACUGCUUUUAUACAGGAAGAAACACACCUACGUGUAGGUGCUUGACGGUACUGUAAGAAUAAGGAUCGGCUAACUCCGUGCCAGCAGCCGCGGUAAUACGGAGGAUCCAAGCGUUAUCCGGAAUUAUUGGGUUUAAAGGGUCCGUAGGUGGACAAUUAAGUCAGAGGUGAAAUCCUGCAGCUCAACUGUAGAAUUGCCUUUGAAACUGGUUAUCUUGAGUUAUUAUGAAGUAGUUAGAAUAUGUAGUGUAGCGGUGAAAUGCAUAGAUAUUACAUAGAAUACCAAUUGCGAAGGCAGAUUACUAAUAAUCAACUGACACUGAUGGACGAAAGCGUGGGUAGCGAACAGGAUUAGAUACCCUGGUAGUCCACGCCGUAAACGAUGGUCACUAGCUGUUUGACCAACAUUGGUUGGUUGAGUGGCUAAGCGAAAGUGAUAAGUGACCCACCUGGGGAGUACGCUCGCAAGACUGAAACUCAAAGGAAUUGACGGGGGCCCGCACAAGCGGUGGAGCAUGUGGUUUAAUUCGAUGAUACGCGAGGAACCUUACC